rnacentral:rRNA from 1 species
AUUGAACGCUGGCGGCAUGCCUUACACAUGCAAGUCGAACGGUAACAGAUCUUCGGAUGCUGACGAGUGGCGAACGGGUGAGUAAUACAUCGGAACGUGCCUAGUAGUGGGGGAUAACUACUCGAAAGAGUGGCUAAUACCGCAUGAGAUCUACGGAUGAAAGCAGGGGAUCGCAAGACCUUGUGCUACUAAAGCGGACGAUGGAAGAUUAGGUAGUUGGUGGGAUAAAAGCUUACCAAGCCGACGAUCUGUAGCUGGUCUGAGAGGACGAUCAGCCACACUGGGACUGAGACACGGCCCAGACUCCUACGGGAGGCAGCAGUGGGGAAUUUUGGACAAUGGGCGCAAGCCUGAUCCAGCAAUGCCGCGUGCAGGAUGAAGGCCUUCGGGUUGUAAACUGCUUUUGUACGGAACGAAAAGCCCUGGGUUAAUACCCUGGGGUCAUGACGGUACCGUAAGAAUAAGCACCGGCUAACUACGUGCCAGCCGCCGCAGUAAAAC